rnacentral:rRNA from 1 species
GGAUUAGAAACCCGGGUAGUCCUGGCCGUAAACGAUGGGCACUGGGUAGGGGGCUCGCCGAUGGGCUCCCUGCCGUAGCGAAAGCGUGAAGUGCCCCGCCUGGGGAGUAUGGUCGCAAGGCUGAAACUCAAAGGAAUUGACGGGGGCUCACACAAGCGGUGGAGUAUGUGGCUUAAUUCGAGGCUACGCGCAAAACCUUAUCCCAGGCUUGACAUGCACGGAUUAGCCGGCGGAAACGUCGGUGAGGCCGCAAGGUACAACGUGCACAGGUGCUGCAUGGCUGUCGUCAGCUCGUGCCGUGAGAUGUUGGGUUAAGUCCCGCAACGAGCGCAACCCUUAUCCCCAGUUGCUAACAGGUUAGGCUGAGAACUCUGUGGAGACUGCCGUUGACAAA